rnacentral:misc_RNA from 1 species
AUAUAUAUCAACCUCUUCAACCUUUUGGCUUGUUGAGUGUUGGAUGAUGGGGGCUUGCUGGUUUCUCUCUUUGAAGUCAACUCCCCUGAAAUGCAUUAGCUGAAUAACAAUAAUAAUAAUUUGCAGACCUUGUUCAUUGGUGUGAUAAUUAUCUAUGCUAACUGACAACAAAGCAAGCUCAGCUUCUAAUAGUCCAUUGAUUUGGACAAUGUUUAUAUUAA